UUAAUUGAAACCAAAAUAGAGGUAUAU
rnacentral:tRNA from 1 species